AGAGUUUGAUCAUGGCUCAGAACGAACGCUGGCGGCGUGGAUAAGACAUGCAAGUCGAACGGGAGUUUGCUGGUAGCAAUAUUAGUGAUCUCUAGUGGCGAAAGGGUGCGUAACACGUAGCUACCUACCUCGAAGUUGGGGAUAGCUCGGCGAAAGCCGGAUUAAUACCGAAUGUGACCGUAAGGUCAAAGCUGGGGAUCGUAAGACCUGGCGCUAUGAGAUGGGGCUGCGGCCUAUCAGGUUGUUGGCGGGGUAAUGGCCCACCAAGCCUAAGACGGGUAGCUGGUCUGAGAGGACGACCAGCCACACUGGAACUGAGACACGGUCCAGACACCUACGGGUGGCAGCAGUCGAGGAUUUUUCUCAAUGGGGGAAACCCUGAUGGAGCGACGCCGCGUGAGGGAUGAAGGUCUUCGGAUUGUAAACCUCUGUCAUCUGGGAACAAUGUGAUCUACCUAACACGUGGAUUAUUGAUAGUACCGGAAGAGGAAGCAGUGGCUAACUCUGUGCCAGCAGCCGCGGUAAUACAGAGACUGCAAGCGUUGCUCGGAUUCAUUGGGCGUAAAGGGUGCGCAGGCGGCUCGUUAAGUCGGAUGUGAAUUCUCUCAGCCUAACUGUGAUAGGUCAUUCGAUACUGGCGGGCUAGAGGGCUGGAGAGGAGACUGGAAUAGUCGGUGUAGCGGUGAAAUGCGUAGAGAUCGACUAGAACACCGGUGGCGAAGGCGGCUCUCUGGACAUUUCCUAACGCUCAUGCACGAAAGCCAGGGGAGCAAACGGGAUUAGAUACGCCCGUAGUCC
rnacentral:rRNA from 1 species